CACGUAGGGCGCAAGCGUUGUCCGGAAUUAUUGGGCGUAAAGAGCUCGUAGGCGGUUUGGUAAGUUGGAUGUGAAAUCUCCAGGCUCAACUUGGAGGGGUCAUUCGAUACUGCCAUGACUAGAGUUCGGUAGGGGAGUGUGGAAUUCCUGGUGGAGCGGUGAAAUGCGCAGAUAUCAGGAGGAACACCGGUGGCGAAGGCGGGUCUCUGGGCCGAUACUGACGCUGAGGAGCGAAAGCGUGGGGAGCGAACAGG
rnacentral:rRNA from 1 species